UGCACCUCCCAACCGGCCUCCCUCCUCGUCCUCUUCUUCCUCGGCCUCAUCUCUUUAUGCCUCUCUUUCCCACACUGCCUCCAUGAAGGGAAAGUAAGCCAGCGUCUUCCUCAUUCUCUCCGGCCACUCUCUUCCCCCAUCUCCUUCGCGCCGCCGGCGCGCGUGAAACAAACAAAUCGGUGCUUUCCCUCCUGGUCGAUCGUCGUCAACCAUGCUUUUUUGUGCGUCAAUUCUUGGGUAAAUCCUGCGAACCUGUGAUGAGCGGGCACUCCAGGUGAUGAAUUAGAGGGCACUCCAGGUGAUGAAUUAGAUGAUUCUUGGUUAUCUUUGCCCGGUACUACUGUACAAUCUUCCAGUAGAUUAACGUUCGUUACUACAUGAUGUCUAUAUAUUUCUGGCUUCUGGGGACCAAGGCAGGGGAUGUGGUGGUCAAGACUUCAUUAAGAGUAUACAGGCAAGUACAUUACAGGGUAUUCCAUAUAGCAUGCGGAUUCUGGCUAUCAUUUGAGGAUUUGAAUGAAAGCUUCCUCACGCUGCCACAGUUUUUUGCAGAACAAUUAAUGCAUGAACCGAGAAAUUAUUUGGAGUAGGUAGAAUGGUCUAUAAAAAGGAAUUAGUCAGAGGAGCAGCUAGCAAAACGUCGUUGUGAUUCGUACGAAACUAGUAGUUGCAAGAGCAUUGCAGUUUGCACCUGUAAAAACAUCCCUCUGAAUUCUAAACAAGUUACAGAAUACGUAUCACACUGGCAUGUGGAUAUUAGUUGUAAUCGUUCUUGUAUUUCCUAUUACUUGUAGCCUACUAAUUCUUGGGAAAAAGAACGUGCACGUGAGAAUACUACCACACAUGUUUAGGGAACCCUCGUGAUGACGCGAAUCUUGACUUGUUCUAUGCAUCCACCAUCAUCACCAUCUACAACGGCGAGCAGGCUCCUUUUUGGGAAUCCCCUUGGAUCAAUGGUGUGCGGCCUAGGGAGAUCGCACCGUUGAUUUAUGAAGUUGCUGACGGAAAAAAUUGGAAGGUGGCUGCAGUCAUGAAAGAUGGAGCUUGGCUCUCCAAAAUCAAGCUAUUCACCAAAUCGUCUUCCUUUGGGUCAAUUUGCGUGGGGUCCAUCUCAAUAUUGGCAUGAACGACAGCAUCAUGUGAAAGCAUACGACUAGCAGACACUACUCGGCAACCUCUACUUACAAGGUGCAAUUUCUCGGCCUUACUAGCUCGAGUGCGGAGUUUGUGGUUUGGAAGGUUUGUGUUCCUAAUAGAAUUUGGAUCACCGAUAGGUUGACAAAGCAGGUGGCCAAAUUGUGGGAUGUGUCCUCUUUGCAAGAGGGAGAACGAACCCAUUAGUCAUCUUUUCUUCAAGUCUCACUACACCGUUAGGCUAUGGAGUGUGAUUAAAGAGUGGCUUCAUAUCGACACCAUUGAUACAUCCUCGUGGAAUGCGACGUGGCAUGUCUCGGAGACCCAUUGUACUAAUAGAAAGACCAUGGCUUUCCUCAUCAUGCUUUUUUGUUGGGUCA